AUUGAACGCUGGCGGCAGGCCUAACACAUGCAAGUCGAGCGGAUGAAGGGAGCUUGCUCCUGGAUUCAGCGGCGGACGGGUGAGUAAUGCCUAGGAAUCUGCCUGGUAGUGGGGGAUAACGUCCGGAAACGGGCGCUAAUACCGCAUACGUCCUGAGGGAGAAAGUGGGGGAUCUUCGGACCUCACGCUAUCAGAUGAGCCUAGGUCGGAUUAGCUAGUUGGUGGGGUAAAGGCCUACCAAGGCGACGAUCCGUAACUGGUCUGAGAGGAUGAUCAGUCACACUGGAACUGAGACACGGUCCAGACUCCUACGGGAGGCAGCAGUGGGGAAUAUUGGACAAUGGGCGAAAGCCUGAUGCAGCCAUGCCGCGUGUGUGAAGAAGGUCUUCGGAUUGUAAAGCACUUUAAGUUGGGAGGAAGGGCAGUAAGUGUAUACCUUGCUGUUUUGACGUUACCAACAGAAUAAGCACCGGCUAACUUCGUG
rnacentral:rRNA from 1 species